AGUCAUAUGCUUGUCUCAAAGAUUAAGCCAUGCAUGUCUAAGUACAAACUAUAUUAAAGUGAAACCGCGAAAGGCUCAUUAAAUCAGUUAUGGUUCCUUAGAUCGUACCACAAUUACUUGGAUAACUGUGGUAAUUCUAGAGCUAAUACAUGCAAACAGAGCUCUGACCGGAGACGGAAGGAGUGCUUUUAUUAGAUCAAAACCAAUCGGCGGCGGUAAUAUUUCGGUAUUAUCGUUCGUCGCUCAAUAUAUGGUGAAUCUGAAUAACUUUAUGCUGAUCGCAUGGUCUUGUACCGGCGACGCAUCUUUCAAAUGUCUGCCUUAUCAACUGUCGAUGGUAGGAUCUGCGCCUACCAUGGUUGUAACGGGUAACGGGGAAUCAGGGUUCGAUUCCGGAGAGGGAGCCUGAGAAACGGCUACCACAUCCAAGGAAGGCAGCAGGCGCGCAAAUUACCCACUCCCGGCACGGGGAGGUAGUGACGAAAAAUAACGAUACGGGACUCAUCCGAGGCCCCGUAAUCGGAAUGAGUACACUUUAAAUCCUUUAACGAGGACCAAUUGGAGGGCAAGUCUGGUGCCAGCAGCCGCGGUAAUUCCAGCUCCAAUAGCGUAU
rnacentral:rRNA from 1 species